ACCUGACCUGCCGUGGUUACCCGAGCCACCUGACCUGCCGUGGUUGCCCGAGCCACCUGACCUGCUGUGGCCGCCCGAGCCACAUGACCCGCCGUGGCCACCCGUGGCUCUUGAUCCUCCGUGGCUGCCCAUGGCUCCUGACCCUCCGUGGCUGCCCGAGUGCAUGGACCUGCAUUGGGGACCCUGUUCUUGUCUGCAUGCAGGUCCCCAAUGCACCCACCCCCCCUCCCUAGCUGUUCCUUUCACGCCGCGAGGACGCGCCUUCCGGGAGGGGGGCGUUAUGUAACGAUCACCAUCUGUUCCUGUCACGUUCAUGCUCACUCCGGACUCCAUUUCCCAUAAUCCUCCCUUGCCUAUCACAUGCACUCACUCCACCAAUCACCUGCUGCCACAUACAGCCUAGCACUCCACACUGAUCACCACACCCAGCUGCACAUCAUUACCAGGACUAUAAAGGACUUUCACACACACCACCUCACCGCGAAGUCUUGUUUAACUGUUGUUACAAUUCUGAGCGUUUUCCUGUAUUCCCUGUCUGCCUGUUCCCUGUUGCCGUUACUGCCUGUUCCCUGUUUUUGACCCGUUGCUGCCUGUCCUGAUCAUUGCCUGUCCCUUGACUACGACUCUGCCUGUUCCUCACUGUUCCUGUUUGCUCCUGUUUUGACCCUGCCUGUACGACCACUCUUGUUACUAAAUAAACGCUGCACUUGGAUCCCCUGCUUGAGUCUCCAUUCACAACAAUUGUCACCGCAGCACAGUUGACACCAAUCAGAGGUAAGACUGAGGCUUCACAUCAGUGUGCUUAUUAUGGAAAUGAAAUAACUAUAUAAAAAAGUGCAUUUUAUUUUUAGAAGAAAUCUUUGAUUCAAGCAAACAGAGCAGACUACAAUGGACAUCUUCAUCACCAAAAGCUUGGAAGGAAACACAAAUGCAGCUUGGAAAGGACUAUGCACACUCUAUCUACAAAGCUUGUAACCCCAAAUUCAAUAACAUUACCAAAACAUUAUGGACCAACUGGAUCCCCAAACAAGAUGCCCAGGAGCUUCUACUGGACCUUAGUUUUGCCCAAGAGGACCAGAAGCCUCUUUAUAUCUAUGUGCAAGAAUCUAACCAAACUCAGAAUCCGUACUUUAGAAGACCAAAAAGACCUGUUCUCUGCAGAACAGUUGAGCAUCCAUUUCCUGUCAAUGCUGUUCCUCAGGAUGAGAACCUGAGCCAUGCUAAGGGCCUUUAUUUGGGAAACAUCACUGAGAAUGGCUUUUACCUGGGAUUUUCUUACAGCGGUAAGUGUACUUUCAUUGCAUCGAUCCAGUUGUUCUUCAUGAAAUGUCCAACAUUUGCAUGGAACCAAAUGGAAUUUGAAGAAACGGCAGCAGGAAGGUCAAGGAGAGUAGUGUGUUUGAACGGUUCUGUGGAGAUGGAGUGUCAAUCAAAUGGGACGUGGGGUCCACCGCAGGGGUCAUGUGAUGCAGGAUACCAGACAGAUGGAAACAGUUGCACAGGUGAAACAAUGAUUAGUGAAGCAUCUUGUGUAAACACAAGCACAAAUUGUGUUUAGAAUUCUUCUAUAGCUCAACAUAAAUGAAGUUGUCAUGAAACAGUUAUAUCAGAGUCAAGUGGCUUGUCAAGCAAGAAAAAAUUGUAUGAAUUUUUUUUUUGGUGAUGUUGCUUUUCAGUGAAAAAAGAAGUAUGCAUGUAAAGGUUAUAGUAAAUGAUGACAAUCUUUUUGGAUGAACUAUGCUUUUUUAAGUAAAAAUGAAAUAAAAUUUUUAUGUAAUAUUGCAGUAUUCAGUAUAUCUGUAGUACACAAAAUUAUUUUUUUUAAUCAAUGUGCCCUCAUAUAUCUCUUCUCUUUUUGAUGACGUGUUUACAAGCACAGGGGCAGAGCAACCUGUCACUCACAUGAGAUCGACCAAUAGCAACCCCCAACAAUCCAAUUAAUUUCCCGUGGAAAAAAAUCGAAUACUUUUUCUUGUUCAAGAAGCCGUUUCACUCUGAUGUACAUCACAGUAUAGGGAAGAAAAGCAACUUCUGUUUCAUGGCACGACAUUAAGCCCAGUUCUCUCUAAACUGUUCCUAUAAGGAACUUAUAUUCAAAAUAUGACUUCUUACUAAAAUGACAACUGAUCUUGAAGAAUUAAAUUUACAACAGCAAAAGUACUGUAAAUGCAACCACUCUGUAUUAUUAAUUUAUAAGGCAACAUACUAUAUUUAUGUGUGUGUUACAGGAAGAGAUCCAUUCACUACAAUGGCCACUCCUGGCCUAAAAGGCAAUUCCAGUCCUGUUCCAAAAACUGAUUCCAGUCCUGAUUUCUUUCCUGUCACAAUAGCUAAUUCCACACACAGACUGUCUCCUGUCCUAACUAUUGUACUGUGUGGCCUUCUGGUUCUUCUCAUUCUCAUCGCUGCUCUAUUUAUCUUUGUAAGGCGUUACAAGCUCAGUGGGGGUCAAGAAACUGAGCUCAUAUCCAGCUCUGGUGCGACUCGAUAUCGACGUCCUAAACAACACAGCUGAGUCCGAGCUAGUCAAUACUUAUAAGGUGGGCAGCAAUAAUGAAGCAAAUCAGAGUGGAGAAUAUAGGCCUUGUCCUCCUAGAAGUACAACACAUGGAAAGGGAGCAUCUCAGCAUGAUUGUGGAUAUGAACAGCUGCAUACUGUCCCACUUCAGCAGAAAAGCACAAUAUCAGUUCAGAUGUUGGAAGGGAUGAGUGAUAUGCUGUGUGGCCUUAAAGACGUGCUGGUCGAACGUACAACGUUGAAAAUGUGCCGAAUGCUUGGGAAAGGAGAGUUUGGGGCUGUUUAUGAAGGCAUAUUUUCCCCACAAAGAGGACAAGAUAUCAGAGUGGCUGUGAAAACCUCAAAAGAAGCAAUCCACAAUAAAGAAGAUCUGGAGUCCUUCCUCAAGGAGGCAGAAAUCAUGAAGCAUUUCAAUCAUCCGAAUGUAGUUAAAUUGCUUGGUAUGUCUUUCUUGAAUGAAAUUAUUUAAUGUUUGAUAUCUAGGCUAAAAUGUAUAAUUUAUAUCUAGCUGGAGCCUGGAGGGGAACAUUUUGGAUAACCUGAUUUCAAAUGGCACAGAUGUUUCCAUGGCAACUGGUCAUCUGUGGCUUGUAGGACUGUCCAAGUGCAAAGUGUGAACUUGCACAAGUUCCCCUGGUGAUGCCUGUAGCUGCACAGUAUACAGUGUGAUUUGGUUGACUUUUACCUCCUGCUUGUCUUUGACCUGACGUUUAAUAGGCGGAUUGUACCAUUGUAAGAAAUAAAUGGAUCAUGGCAACUCUGUGUAAUAAUGUAAUUGGCAUCUUUCCAAUACUGUGAUAAUCAGCAGACAGUCAAGGUCAUGCAGUAUGCAGUGAUCACUUUAAAGGAGCAGUUUCACUGCUUUCAUUUGACUGAAUUAAUAAUAUUAGCAAUUUUUAUUUUAUUUAUUUAUUUUGGGUGAGCUAGAUUUACUGUACAUAUAUCCACCUUAUUUUUCAUGUAAGAGUGGGUGCGGCCUUUUGUAAAUAGAAUGUGUCUGGCUUCCGGUGCUAUUCGCUUGCAGUUAUGUUUAGCUCUACUGAACAUGCUACUCGAUAUUAAUAUGUAUUGUGGUAAUUAUAAGCACACUGGCUUGUAACACAAAUUGUUUUACUGUUUACAUUAGACAUAUUAUAUCUAUAGAGAGAGUGGGGGGUGAGAAAGAGAUGCCUCAUUACUGUCUGUUUCUAUGGGCCGCCAUCUUGGACGGUCAGUGUGUCAUCAGAGUAAGAAUCAAUGAUGCCACAAGUUACAUUGUGCAGCAGCUUCUGGUUGUAAAAACCACAGAUAUUUAAAUUCCCGAAGAUUACCUUUCACAGGUGAGAAUGUGUUGUUUGUGUUUUUAUAUUUAUGUACUCAAUAUUACAGGGUUUUAAACUAUGGUCAUGUUAGCUGUAGGGCUGUCAAAAAAUAACGCAGAUUAAUCCAUUCCGUAUUGACCUUUGAACCUGGAGCCGUUCUAGCCACCAUUCGACUGUAAAAUGAACAGAAAAUGAAGGAGGGAGACGACUGCUGCACUGACGGACAGAACGAGCACUCGAGCAGAGCUGCUCCCUCGUGCGCGCGAGCUCUCUUCUUCUUCAAAGUAAGCACCGUCUUUGCACUCUCUCUACCUCGAACAUAAUAAUCUAAAUCAACUGACACAAUGCUAAAAGUU